rnacentral:rRNA from 1 species
UACGGAGGGGGCUAGCGUUGUUCGGAAUUACUGGGCGUAAAGCGCACGUAGGCGGAUAUUUAAGUCAGGGGUGAAAUCCCGGGGCUCAACCCCGGAACUGCCUUUGAUACUGGGUAUCUGGAGGUCGAGAGAGGCGAGUGGAAUUCCGAGUGUAGAGGUGAAAUUCGUAGAUAUUCGGAAGAACACCAGUGGCGAAGGCGGCUCACUGGCCCGGUACUGACGCUGAUGUGCGAAAGCGUGGGGAGCAAACAGG